rnacentral:tRNA from 1 species
GCCCCGGUGGCACAGUGGUUAAGCACUUGGCUGCUAACCAAAAGGCCAGUGGUUCAAACCCACCCAGGAGCU